AUGAACGCUGGCGGCGUGCCUAAUACAUGCAAGUCGAGCGCACAGACGAGGAGCUUGCUCCUCUGACGUUAGCGGCGGACGGGUGAGUAACACGUGGAUAACCUACCUAUAAGACUGGGAUAACUUCGGGAAACCGGAGCUAAUACCGGAUAAUAUAUUGAACCGCAUGGUUCAAUAGUGAAAGACGGUUUUGCUGUCACUUAUAGAUGGAUCCGCGCCGCAUUAGCUAGUUGGUAAGGUAACGGCUUACCAAGGCAACGAUGCGUAGCCGACCUGAGAGGGUGAUCGGCCACACUGGAACUGAGACACGGUCCAGACUCCUACGGGAGGCAGCAGUAGGGAAUCUUCCGCAAUGGGCGAAAGCCUGACGGAGCAACGCCGCGUGAGUGAUGAAGGUCUUCGAAUCGUAAAACUCUGUUAUUAGGGAAGAACAAAUGUGUAAGUAACUAUGCACGUCUUGACGGUACCUAAUCAGAAAGCCACGGCUAACUACGUG
rnacentral:rRNA from 1 species